GCCAGACAGUGACAACAGUGCCUAGGGUCAAAGAAUACGAUGGUCACAGAAUUUGGUGUAACACCGGCGUUCUGGAGCAACUCUUUGACUGCUCACUGUGAAACAUUGCGAUCGAUCGCUCAGUUCAUCUUAUUGUUGUCUUAGUCUGUGACUGUUACGUCUCUUGUUGUGGAAAUAUCACACUUGUGGAAUAUAGAGACUCGUUGGAUUAUUUCUCCUUGGGGAUUCCGUCACAGGACAGCUGUCCCUCGUCGAGCUCCUGGACUUUAAAACACUUCACCGCAUCGGCAGAAGCCACCACAUUUUGGCGCCCAACAUGGGGCUGGAAAGGAGCAGAGGGUGGAGAACCACUUUGGGCUGGCUUAACGAACAACAUUUUUAGUGGCCACUAAAUAAUAAAGGUUUCCAUUUACAGGUGACAGCAGUUCUAUAAAAGACGAGGAAUGGUUUGCUCCAUCAAUGAGAACCACUUCAACAACUCCACACAGCAUGACGUGAGGGAUGAAGGGCGUGCUAGUAACGACCCUCCCUUGCCAAC